rfam:Thermosinus carboxydivorans Nor1 ctg50, whole genome shotgun sequence.
CCCAUUGCGAGAUGGGAUCCUAAGGAAGUCGGCGGCAAAUCUUCGUUCUGAGGGAAACGAACCGCAAAUGAGGCUAGGGGCAGUUGGUUGAGCUUGCGUUACAAAGCAAAGUCCUUGCUACCGAAGGUUGCCCAGAGUAACUGCGGCAGGUAGAUGGAGAGAAAGACACUGCU